rnacentral:rRNA from 1 species
UCCAGACUCCUACGGGAGGCAGCAGUGGGGAAUAUUGCACAAUGGGGGGAACCCUGAUGCAGCAACGCCGCAUGGGUGAAGGAGCGUUUCGGCGCGUAAAGCCCUGUCAGCGGGGAAGAAGAAAGACGGUACCCGACCAAGAAGCCCCGGCUAACUACGUGCCAGCAGCCGCGGUAAUACGUAGGGGGCGAGCGUUAUCCGGAAUUACUGGGUGUAAAGGGAGCGUAGACGGCGAGGUAAGCCUGAAGUGGAAGCCCGCGGCCCAACCGCGGGACUGCUCUGGAAACUGCGUCGCUGGAGUACGGGAGGGGCAGGCGGAAUUCCUGGUGUAGCGGUGAAAUGCGUAGAUAUCAGGAGGAACACCGGCGGCGAAGGCGGCCUGCUGGACCGUGACUGACGUUGAGGCUCGAGAGCGUGGGGAGCAAACAGGAUUAGAUACCCGCGUAA